rnacentral:rRNA from 1 species
GUGUCAGCAGCCGCGGUAAUACGGAGGAUCCAAGCGUUAUCCGGAUUUAUUGGGUUUAAAGGGUGCGUAGGCGGCCUGUUAAGUCAGGGGUGAAAGACGGUGGCUCAACCAUCGCAGUGCCCUUGAUACUGAUGGGCUUGAUUUCAGUUGAGGUAGGCGGAAUGUGACAAGUAGCGGUGAAAUGCAUAGAUAUGUCACAGAACACCGAUUGCGAAGGCAGCUUACUAAAGUGAUAAUGACGCUGAGGCACGAAAGCGUGGGGAUCAAACAGGAUUAGAUACCCUGGUAGUCCACGCCCUAAACGAUGAACACUCGAUGUUAGCGAUAUACAGUUAGCGUCUAAGCGAAAGCGUUAAGUGUUCCACCUGGGGAGUACGCCCGCAAGGGUGAA